rnacentral:rRNA from 1 species
GACGAACGCUGGCGGCGUGCCUAAUACAUGCAAGUAGAACGCAGUUGCGAACGGGUGAGUAACGCGUAGGUAACUGCCUCAUAGCGGGGGAUAAAUAUUGGAAACGAUCGCUAAUACCGCAUACUGUGAUAUGGACCUGCGUUGUAUUAGCUAGGUGUUGCGGUAAAGGCUCACCAAGGCGACGAUACAUAGCCGACCUGAGAGGGUGAUCAGCCACACUGGGACUGAGAAACGGCCCAGACUCCUACGGGAGGCAGCAGUAGGGAAUUUUCGGCAAUGGGCGGAAGUCUGAUGCAGCCAUGCCGCGUGUGUGAAGAAGGCCUUCGGGUUGUAAAGCACUUUCAGCGGGGAGGCGUUACCCGCAGAAGAAGCACCGGCUAACUCCGUGCCAGCAGCCGCGGUAAUAC